GACCAUUUGGUGGGUACGUACAUAAAUUAGUUGGCUACUUGGCGCCAACGUGCGCUGCAUUUUCUUUUCAGUAGAGAAAAAAAAACUUUAUUCAACGUUUCGAAGGAAAAAAAUGCUUAAACGAAGAGGCAUCGUUUGGAUUUUCUUUGGUUUAGGUACAGUGUAGAAAAAUGGUUUAUGUGCUUGGAGUCUCUUUUAAAAAGGAAGAAAAAUAGAUUAAGAGAGUGAGUUUAUCCAGGAAAGGAAAAAAAAAGAAGAAAAAUAGGCAAGCAUGGUAUUUAUCUCUUCUCUUAAGACAAAGGACAAAAAUAAAGCUUUGUCCAGCUCAGCCUAGAUCACCCCAGCCUGGGUGCCUGUCAUGUGGGGCCCUGCUGCUCCAGCUCACGUCGAUUUCAACAAAAAUGACCUUGUGGUGAAAGGAAUUCAAAGAAUGAACUCGUUGCGGAACUAUUUCACGCCGGUAACCCUUUUUCUCAGCAUCCAACAACUAGGCGUUACACAAGGUAGCACAACGCCUAAUCAAAAGCGCUAUGUAACAGCCAGCGUGGCACGAGAUGCCAGCGUGGCCAACUUGAGCAGGGUCAUGUAGCGCCCAAGUGCUGGGCGCUAACAUCUUACGCCCCGCACCUUUUCUGCUUAGAACAAGCGGCGCCCAUUCCCCUCUCUCUCGCGCGUCCGCCGCAAGAACUGGGGCGGCCGUUCCCCUCUCUGGCCCCAAGUAAAUCCCUUAAUGCUCAAAUAUUUGUCGGUUGAUUUGUUUCCCCUUUCAUCCCCGGCCUCUAUUGAUCUCGUUUUCCUUCGAACCCUAGAACAACCGAGGCGUAAUCCUCUCGCUUGAGCCCGCCCGCCGCAAGAACAACCGUCCCAGAUACCAUGGCGCUUCUUUCUGAGCACUACGAUCAGCAUCACCGUGCGCAUAUGAUGCGGGACAAAAUGCGGGAAUUAAAACCCCUGAAACUGAGGUCACACGGUGCCUCAUCAAACAUCAUGCGCUACGAUGAGCGGUACACGUAGUACAUCGAGACGACAGGUCUCCUCCCCUUCAUACAUCUAGUUACCCGGUCCACACCAUCCCUCAAUGCUGCUGCAAUCACGGCCCUUGUGGACCGGUGGAGGCCUGAGACGCACACAUUUCACCUCAUGACUGGGGAGAUGACGGUGACGCUACAGGAUGUUUCUAUGAUCUUAGCACUUCCCAUCGAAGAAGAACCGGUAUGCAUGGACACCAACUCUUCGGGAUGGCGCGAGCAGAUGCAGGUUAUUAUUGGAAGCCCCCCCCCCCCCCCCCCGAGGCCGAGGACCCCAUUCAUGAUAGAGUACCGGCGGGGGCUACUUAUACUUGGAUCAUGCAGAACUUCGCAGAGUGCCCCCCUGAUGCAAAUGAAGAGGUGGUUCAGCAGUACGCUCGCGUUUACGUGUGGUACAUUAUCACGAGGACACUCUUCGUCGAUGGCGGUGGCAGGACAACCCAAUGGAUGUGGUUGAAGGCACUGACUGUAUGGGAUGCGAAUUGGAGCUGGGGUAUGGCUGCGCUGGCGUAUCUAUACCGACAGUUGGAUGAUGCUUGUCGUAGGAUUGUUCCUGAGAGUGGGAUUGUGGUCCUUUGCUCCUGCUUUCAAUAUGGAGCUGGGAGCGCUUCCCAGUAGGCUGGCCGAAGGUGCUGAACUUUCAUCCUUGGGAUGAUCAUGGCAAUCCGUUGCGCCGACCAACAUGGGCAUACAAGUGGGAUCGUGUCUCCGAGAGCACGAGCUCGACAAAAAUUAUGUACAAGCAAUACACUAACGAGUUCGAUGCCCUUACUCCGGAGCACGUUGUUUGGCAGCCAUACGGUGCGGGGGAAACAUUCGGUCGGACCUUCGAGUUUGAACUUAAUCCGAAGUGCCUGCAAGAACGACAUCUCUGGGUGAUGCGCUGCCCAAUGAUAUGUUUGUGGGCCGUUGAAUUACAUUUGCCACAUCGUGUCAUGGCACAAUUUGGAUUGUUUCAGACUAACCCGCCGAAGAGGAAGGACACGGGCAUCAGACUUCAUGACCUUGAUAGGAAGAAGUGCAAAAAGAUCCAGAAUUGGCCUGUGGUUCAUGGGAGCCAUGUCGACAAGUUUAAGCGGUGUCUUGAGAAGGCAAAUGAAGCUUGAGGAUCACAACUUCGAGAGCAUUGCCCACUGGCCUUUACCAACUACGUGCAUUGGUAUCUCGCCAACACACGUGCCACCAUAUGUCCUCCGGCUUACGACCCAGAAAUUCUGGAAGAGCCCGUGCUAUUCGACGAGGUUGCAGACCUUGAGUACAACCGACUCUUAAGGGAAGGGCACCAAACAGAUUUUGCUCCUGUCUUGAAGUUUGUGCGUGAGGAGAUCAGGAAGGAUGCCGAUGCGUGUGAGUCGGUCUUAGAAAGCACGGCUAAGUCACAGAACGGUGAUGGUACACUCCGAGACUUUGUGAAGCGAACCGGACAAAGACUACGCCGACUUGCCAACAUUAUAGGAUGCCGUGACACUGAGAUUGUAUCACCGUCACAGUCAUCUUCCUCCUCGCCUUCUGAUGAUGUAGAAGCCUCCCCAGCUGACCUAGAAGAUGAUGGAUCAAUGCAGGAAGGAGAUGAUGUGGAUGACGACACCACGUUGGGGGCAUGGCAACGAUCAGCGUUCAUACUCAAACCUAGGAAGCCGUUGAAGCGCUAUACCCCUUCAGAUUACGAGAAAAGAAGGAAGAUUGUUUAUGACGAUGAGGACGAAGAUCUAGAACAAGAAGAUGAGGACGCAGGAGAGCAAGAGGCUGAAGAUGAAGAUGGAGGAGAGGAAGAGGAAGAAGAUGUUGAACCUCGUCGCUGACGGAAGACCGCGGUUGCGAAAGGCAAAGGCGUUAGACGGUCUACUAGGACGUGCACGAAGAAGUAGACUAGCAAUAAAGCUAUCUUAGUUUGGACCAUCUAUAUAUUUUUAUGAACUUGUGUGGAUGAUGUGGUCUAUGUUGCUAAACUUGUGUGGAUGAUGUGGCUUAAUUUAUGCUUGCACCUGAUGAUUUUGUUAAUGUGGCUGGAAGUUUGAUUUGA